rnacentral:rRNA from 1 species
GACAGAGGAUGCAAGCGUUAUCCGGAAUGAUUGGGCGUAAAGCGUCCGCAGGUGGCUGUGUAAGUCUGCUGUUAAAGAGUCUAGCUCAACUAGGUAAGAGCAGUGGAAACUACACGGCUAGAGUACGUUCGGGGCAGAGGGAAUUCCUGGUGUAGCGGUGAAAUGCGUAGAGAUCAGGAAGAACACCGGUGGCGAAGGCGGUUCUCUAGUACGGUACUGACGCUGAGACGCGAAAGCGUGGGGAGCGAACAGG